UCACUUCAACCCCCCCCGGGGACGCCCCGCCCUUCCCCUCGCUUCUCCCGAAUCCCUCGAGGCGCGCUCGGGUUACUCGAACCCCGGGGGCAGCGGCCUGCCUUGGCGCCGGUAUCGCUCCACCUUGCGCUCCUGCGUCGCCGCGAAGAUCGCCGCGAAGGUGCCGAGUGAGAGGAAGGAGAGGACGCCGAGCGUGAACCGAUCGGACGCGGCCAUGUGCUGCGCCGCUCGCUUCCCGUCUGGACCAGCGUCGCGCCCCCCGGUCCGUCUCACACACACUGCACGGCGUGAUAUCUGAUAGGUCUCGAUUAGUGCCACUUUUUGUCCCCUUUGCUUACCGCGAAAGCAAAGUGGAUUUUCGUAUGGGCAAAUAGUCAGACAUCAAUUCGCGUUCGCGGUAUUUCGGCCUUCGCGAGAGCAAAAUCGGGGCCGAGGCCUCCUGGCGAGUCGCCGGAGAGCGGUCCCGAAGAAGGCAAAAUUGCCCGAAAAUCGACCUGAUUUCAAACUAUUUGCCCAUACAAAACAGCCACUUUGCUUUCGCGGUAGCAAAAGGGGACAAAAAGUGGCACUAAUCGGGACC
rnacentral:lncRNA from 1 species